AACUGUGCUGCCAAAUAGUCCUGGCUGAGUGGCCUUCCUCUGGAGUGUGGCUGGCUUGUCAGGGCUGCUACACUCAUAGAGAAAACUGACCCUUCCUUUCCCACAAAUAACAAAAGACAAUACAAGUUUCUGUCUGACACCAAAUGUUUAUGUAAGCUGUUUUGAAGCAAAUCUGCCUAGGUUAGAAUUCCACGUUAUUUAUGGACAUUUUUACUGUGCUGUAUUUUGUUUUGAAAUAAAGUACCUGGGGGAAUAGAAUUAUAGUUUUUCAUCCCCACCUCUUUUGAGGUGCUCUGCUUUCUGGGGACCAUUGCUUAGUCUGCCCGCCCCCCCCCCCCCCCCCCGAGUUGUGUAGAUUUAGAAAGUGAAUUCCCAUUCUUACCAUGAAUUAUUUGAAAAGAUAGGAAAUGUGUUUUGGAUUCCAGUGGCAGUAACAUCAUUUCCUCCCUUUUUAUUACCAUUGCUUGUUGCUCUGUGCUGCAGUGUUUCACACAUCUUACCACAGUGAAUCCCAACAGCACUGUUGGUGCAGUUGCCUUAUUUUAUGUCGGGUAAACCAAGGCACAGUGAAGACACAGCAUUACCUACCUGUGGGUUUGAAUUAGCUGUGUCCAUGUGUGCUCCUUAUGAUUUUACUCGAUAGGACAUCAUUCUUACGAACUUUGUGUUAUCUGUUGUUUUAACAAAGAAAUUCACAUUCUUUUUACAAAGAAACAGUUUUUCAAAAAACAAUUCAUUUUCUCAUCUAUAACCUAUCAGAUCUUGUUGGAAAUCUCAAGCUCUGCUUGAUAAAUUCUGUCAGCCUGGUUAUAUUCAGUGUGCUAGCGGCUGUCUAAGGCACCAAUAGCUACUGUUUGUCUGUGAGGGGUUUUCGCUUUUCUCCUUUUCUUGACACAAAGUCUCACUAUGCUGGUACCAAACUUAGGGCAUUUCUUUCACCUCUGUUUUUGAGUGCUGGAGUUAGAGGCAUGUAUCACCAGACUUAGUGUCUCUGUCUUCAUGAAGCUUAUUCUGUUGGGAAAAUAGGUGGUGGUGGGGGAGAACAUAGAAAUAAAUGCAUGCUUAAAAUGUUAGCAUGCACAGUACAGAUAGACAUCUGUGCAGAGAAGUGUGCUAGAUUCUAGGAAAUUGAUGUUGCACUAAUCUCAGACAUAUGAAAUAAUAUUUCCCCUUGGUGUGCAUUGUGAAUGUUCCUCUUUAUUUCGCUUUCUUUUUUUCUUUUGAGUGCACUGUAGCUGUCUUCAGACACACGCCAGAAGGCAGCACCGCUUGCACACUGACCCAGAAGUCCCAGCAGCAGCAUCACGUUUGUAUGCCUCCCAUGCUUGUCUCCUUUUCCUUGUUUUCUUUUCCCGAACCUCAGGACGACAGAAGUGGUUUUUCGGAUACAUUUUAUGUUCCAUGCUGUGACUUUAAAAACAUGCCGAUCAAGUAUCCUCUCUUUUCUUCUCUAUUCCUACUUGGGGGGAGAAUAAAUACAAGUUAAGUAGUUUAUU
rnacentral:lncRNA from 1 species